rnacentral:misc_RNA from 1 species
UUGAGGAUUUUUGAGUUGAAUCAAAAAACUUCCCACCCCAUGAUAAUUUAUUUUGGACACAGCUUCGGUAGGACUGUUUUCUUUUUUGGUUUCUUAUGAAGUCAAAAAGAACGAUUGGUAGUUGUAAAACUAUUGAUUAGUGCUUACCGAUAGCAUCAAACAAAAAACUCUUGAUAAUUUGUUGUCUUAUUCAAUCAAAAAAUGAAUUA